GACGAACGCUGGCGGCGCGCCUAACACAUGCAAGUCGAACGAGCGAGAGGAAGCUUGCUUUCUCGAGCGAGUGGCGAACGGGUGAGUAACGCGUGAGGAACCUGCCUCAAAGAGGGGGACAACAGUUGGAAACGACUGCUAAUACCGCAUAAGCCCACGGCUCGGCAUCGAGCAGAGGGAAAAGGAGCAAUCCGCUUUGAGAUGGCCUCGCGUCCGAUUAGCUAGUUGGUGAGGUAACGGCCCACCAAGGCGACGAUCGGUAGCCGGACUGAGAGGUUGAACGGCCACAUUGGGACUGAGACACGGCCCAGACUCCUACGGGAGGCAGCAGUGGGGAAUAUUGCACAAUGGGGGAAACCCUGAUGCAGCGACGCCGCGUGGAGGAAGAAGGUCUUCGGAUUGUAAACUCCUGUUGUUGGGGAAGAUAAUGACGGUACCCAACAAGGAAGUGACGGCUAACUACGUGCCAGCAGCCGCGGUAAAACGUAGGUCACAAGCGUUGUCCGGAAUUACUGGGUGUAAAGGGAGCGCAGGCGGGAAGACAAGUUGGAAGUGAAAUCCAUGGGCUCAACCCAUGAACUGCUUUCAAAACUGUUUUUCUUGAGUAGUGCAGAGGUAGGCGGAAUUCCCGGUGUAGCGGUGGAAUGCGUAGAUAUCGGGAGGAACACCAGUGGCGAAGGCGGCCUACUGGGCACCAACUGACGCUGAGGCUCGAAAGUGUGGGUAGCAAACAGGAUUAGAUACCCUGGUAGUCCACACCGUAAACGAUGAUUACUAGGUGUUGGAGGAUUGACCCCUUCAGUGCCGCAGUUAACACAAUAAGUAAUCCACCUGGGGAGUACGACCGCAAGGUUGAAACUCAAAGGAAUUGACGGGGGCCCGCACAAGCAGUGGAGUAUGUGGUUUAAUUCGACGCAACGCGAAGAACCUUACCAAGUCUUGACAUCCCUUGACGAUGCUGGAAACAGUAUUUCUCUUCGGAGCAAGGAGACAGGUGGUGCAUGGUUGUCGUCAGCUCGUGUCGUGAGAUGUUGGGUUAAGUCCCGCAACGAGCGCAACCCUUAUGGUCAGUUACUACGCAAGAGGACUCUGGCCAGACUGCCGUUGACAAAACGGAGGAAGGUGGGGAUGACGUCAAAUCAUCAUGCCCUUUAUGACUUGGGCUACACACGUACUACAAUGGCGUUAAACAAAGAGAAGCAAGACCGCGAGGUGGAGCAAAACUCAGAAACAACGUCCCAGUUCGGACUGCAGGCUGCAACUCGCCUGCACGAAGUCGGAAUUGCUAGUAAUCGUGGAUCAGCAUGCCACGGUGAAUACGUUCCCGGGCCU
rnacentral:rRNA from 1 species